UACAGAGGUCUCAAGCGUUGUUCGGAUUCAUUGGGCGUAAAGGGUGCGUAGGCGGCGCGGUAAGUCGGGUGUGAAAUCUUGGAGCUUAACUCCGAAACUGCAUUCGAUACUGCCGUGCUUGAGGACUGGGGAGGAGACUGGAAUUUACGGUGUAGCGGUGAAAUGCGUAGAUAUCGUAAGGAAGACCAGUGGCGAAGGCGGGUCUCUGGACAGUUCCUGACGCUGAGGCACGAAGGCCAGGGGAGCAAACGGG
rnacentral:rRNA from 1 species